rnacentral:rRNA from 1 species
CGGGAGGCAGCAGUGGGGAAUAUUGGACAAUGGGCGCAAGCCUGAUCCAGCCAUACCGCGUGGGUGAAGAAGGCCUUCGGGUUGUAAAGCCCUUUUGUUGGGAAAGAAAUCCAGCCGGCUAAUACCUUGUUGCGAUGACGGUACCCAAAGAAUAAGCCCCGGCUAACUUCGUGCCAGCAGCCGCGGUAAUACGAAGGGUGCAAGCGUUAUUCGGAAUUACUGGGCGUAAAGCGUGCGUAGGUGGUUAUUUAAGUCCGUUGUGAAAGCCCUGGGCUCAACCUGGGAACUGCAGUGGAUACUGGAUGACUAGAGUGUGGUAGAGGGUAGCGGAAUUCCUGGUGUAGCAGUGAAAUGCGUAGAGAUCAGGAGGAACAUCCAUGGCGAAGGCAGCUACCUGGACCAACACUGACACUGAGGCACGAAAGCGUGGGGAGCAAACAGGAUUAGAUACCCUGGUAGUCCACGCCCUAAACGAUGCGAACUGGAUGUUGGGUGCAAUUUGGCACGCAGUAUCGAAGCUAAC